AUUGAACGCUGGCGGCAGGCCUAACACAUGCAAGUCGAGCGGAUGAAGGGAGCUUGCUCCUGGAUUCAGCGGCGGACGGGUGAGUAAUGCCUAGGAAUCUGCCUGGUAGUGGGGGAUAACGUCCGGAAACGGGCGCUAAUACCGCAUACGUCCUGAGGGAGAAAGUGGGGGAUCUUCGGACCUCACGCUAUCAGAUGGGCCUAGGUCGGAUUAGCUAGUUGGUGGGGUAAAGGCCUACCAAGGCGACGAUCCGUAACUGGUCUGAGAGGAUGAUCAGUCACACUGGAGCUGAGACACGGUCCAGACUCCUACGGGAGGCAGCAGUGGGGAAUAUUGGACAAUGGGCGAAAGCCUGAUCCAGCCAUGCCGCGUGUGUGAAGAAGGUCUUCGGAUUGUAAAGCACUUUAAGUUGGGAGGAAGGGCAGUAAGUUAAUACCUUGCUGUUUUGACGUUACCAACAGAAUAAGCACCGGCUAACUUCGUG
rnacentral:rRNA from 1 species